rnacentral:rRNA from 1 species
CUUUCGGGGUUAGUGGCGGACGGGUGAGUAACGCGUAGGGAUCUGUCCAUGGGUGGGGGAUAACUUUGGGAAACUGAAGCUAAUACCGCAUGACACCUGAGGGUCAAAGGCGCAAGUCGCCUGUGGAGGAACCUGCGUUCGAUUAGCUAGUUGGUGGGGUAAAGGCCUACCAAGGCGAUGAUCGAUAGCUGGUCUGAGAGGAUGAUCAGCCACACUGGGACUGAGACACGGCCCAGACUCCUACGGGAGGCAGCAGUGGGGAAUAUUGGACAAUGGGCGCAAGCCUGAUCCAGCAAUGCCGCGUGUGUGAAGAAGGUUUUCGGAUUGUAAAGCACUUUCAGCGGGGACGAUGAUGACGGUACCCGCAGAAGAAGCCCCGGCUAACUUCGUGCCAGCAGCCGCGGUAAUACGAAGGGGGCAAGCGUUGCUCGGAAUGACUGGGCGUAAAGGGCGCGUAGGCGGUUGACACAGUCAGGUGUGAAAUUCCCGGGCUUAACCUGGGGUCUGCAUUUGAUACGUGGCGACUAGAGUGUGAGAGAGGGUUGUGGAAUUCCCAGUGUAGAGGUGAAAUUCGUAGAUAUUGGGAAGAACACCGGUGGCGAAGGCGGCAACCUGGCUCAUGACUGACGCUGAGGCGCGAAAGCGUG